rnacentral:lncRNA from 1 species
UAAAACAAAAAUCAAUACUCCCUCUCUUUUAAUUCAACAGGUGGUGCAGCAAGUUAGAAUUUGAUUCCGGAGUUAACUAGAAAAGCAGAAAUCGACUGUUUUCAGCAAACGUGUUCUGAUUUUUGCUCUUUCUUGGCUUGACCACUCCACUCACUUACGGCCAGCUUCUCUCACUCUUGUUCACUCAAGACUGUUUUGUUCUCACUCA